rnacentral:tRNA from 1 species
GGUAAAAUGGCUGAGAAAGCAUUAGACUGUAAAUCUAAAGACAGAGGUUAUAACCCUCUUUUUGCCA